rnacentral:lncRNA from 1 species
GAUAUCAUAAAAGUUUCACCGUUUGUCUGUUUUUCGUUUUCCUGUCGGGUUUCUCUGAAGAACACAGCCUUCGCUAGUUAUAGUGUUUGCUACUUUCAGAAGCUUAUUUUAAAUUUCCGAUUUAUUUCAAGAAAUUAGCUUAUAGGAUUAUUUUGUUUCAUCAAUGGUGUUUUGUAUACUAAUUUGAUUUUCCCUGCCGUUACCAAAUUGGUAAAAAGGUUUC